UUUCACCUGAUUAACUUUUAUAAGGUUAAAGGUUAAAGUGUUUUAUAAACACUAUAACCUCAGUUUCUUACCUUACAUUUAUACUUUUAUUAGGCUACUUUAUACCGUAUGGACGCAUUUUAAUCACGGAAGAGAUACGAUAAGGUCUCCAGUCUACUAUGGAUGAGGAGAGAGAGGAGGGGGGUCCUACCUCUAAGACCGCUCUGUCUGGGGAACAUGGCCGCCGGAGCAAAGCUAAGAGCCCAGAGCAGCAGCAGAGAGCAGACUCCCCUGGACCCAGCUGUGUCUCCAUGAAGAGUGACCACUCUAUGGAACGUCUUCUUAACUUUAAAGAUGGAAAUCAGUCUAUUGAGAAGAGAGGAGUCCAGCAGGAGAGAGCAGACUCCCUGGACCCAGCUGUGUCUCCAUGAAGAGUGGCUGGUCUAUGGAUAUAAAAUAAACAUGCAAAAAGAUGGACUCCCUCCAAAGAGGAGAGGUAGGAGUUUCAAACAGAUGAGGAAAUCAGACCAGUUACUUGUAAUCAGACUAUACGGAUAAUGAUGACAAUAAAAGUCUCAGGAAAUAUAAGUGUGUGUGUGUGUGGGUGUGGGUGUGUGUGUGUGGGUGUGUGUGUGUGUGUUCUCCCACAG
ensembl:lncRNA